ensembl:lncRNA
GUUCUGUGAGUGUGUGUUCUUCAUCAUGAUUAGCGCAUAACAUGACUUGUUUUUUUUCUCAGAUUACACCUCUCUACGUCAAGUAGGGUUAACCAUCGCUGCGGUUCUCUUUGUGAUGGGAAUCAUGGUGCUUGGUUGUAAGUAAACCUAACUUCAAGUCUCAGUCCUGAUUGCUUUUAUAAACCGUUUAUAAACCGUUGCGUUUCAAAUCCCCAAACCCCUCUCCUCUCUUUUUUCAAUCUUCCUCCAUCUGAAAGGUGGCAAAGUGAAACGAAUACCACGGUGUCAUAUUGGCAAAGGAAGCUCAUACAGGGUGACCAGAAGUUAGCACUUCUCUCAGCAUUGAUCAGCUGGCUCGGCAAUAAACAGAGGAACAGCAGGAAAACACAAAGGAGCCAGUCAGACCUGUUUCCACAGCGGUUACAGACUUACAUUUCCCCCUUGUGAGAACAACAUCAUAAGGACAAGAUGGAGAGGUCGUGUGUGUGAGCGUGUUCUUUAUUUCAAACUGAUCUCCGGGUUUGUCACACAGAGGAGCCGGGGAAUAAGAUGUGUGCUAUCGUGCGGCACUAAACGCCAGCGGUAACACAACGGCUGGGACUUCGGCAGAUCCCAGCGUAAUCACGCGUCUCAGACACAAAGUCCCUUCAUCCCUCUGCUCUCCUGCACCAAACUGCUCGGUUUAAGUGUCAAACUUUGUACAACGUAGACCUGUACUUGUGUUUUAUUAUCAUUAUUAUUUCAAUACUGUGCAUCCUCAGAUGUGUCUAUCUUUUGGAAACGGCAAGAAGCGUUGUGUGGCUCACAAGUGCCCUCAAGAGGCCUUCAGACACAUUUAUUAUGAGUUCUCCCAAGAGGAGAGAAUAAAAACGGUUUGGCUCAGUCUGUUUAGAGAUUC